UACAGUUGCCCAGUGGUUAGAGCGUCCGUCUCGGAUGCGGGAGGUUGAGGGUUCUAAUCCCGGCCUAAUCAUAAAAA